rnacentral:rRNA from 1 species
UACGUAGGGACCAAGCGUUGUUCGGAUUUACUGGGCGUAAAGGGCGCGUAGGCGGCGUGUUAAGUCACUUGUGAAAUCUCUAAGCUUAACUUAGAACGGUCAAGUGAUACUGAUGUGCUAGAGUGCAGAAGGGGCAACCGGAAUUCUUGGUGUAGCGGUGGAAUGCGUAGAGAUCCGGAGGAACACCAGCGGCGAAGGCGGCAUCCUGGACUGGUCCUGACACUCAUGAGCGAAAGCGUGGGGAGCGAUCCGG